rnacentral:rRNA from 1 species
CCUACGGGUGGCAGCAGUGGGGAAUAUUGCACAAUGGGGGAAACCCUGAUGCAGCAACGCCGCGUGAGUGAAGAAGGAUUUCGGUAUGUAAAGCUCUAUCAGCAGGGAAGCAGAUGACGGUACCUGAGGAAGAAGCCCCGGCUAACAACGUGCCAGCAGCGGCAGUAAUACGUAGGGGGCAAGCGUGAUCCGGAGUUACUGGGUGUAAAGGGAGCGCAGACGGUGAGACAAGUCGAAAGUGAAAGCUCGGGGGCCAACCCCUGGACUGCCUUUGAAACUGCCUGACUGGAGUGAUGGAGAGGCAAGCGGAAUGCCUAGUGUAGCGGUGAAAUGCGUAGAUAUUAGGAAGAACACCAGUGGCGAAGGCAGCUUGCUGGACAGUAACUGACGUUGAGGCUCGAAAGCGUGGGUAGCAAACAGGAUUAGAUACCCCAGUAGUC